GAUGAACGCUGGCGGCGUGCCUAAUACAUGCCAGUCGAGCGAACAGACCAUGCUCUUGCUCCUCUGACGUUAGCGGCGGACGUGUGAGUAACACGUGUAUACCCUACCUAUCAUUCUGGUAUAACUUCGUGACACCGGAGCUAAUACCGUAUAAUAUCUUGAACCGCAUGGUUCAUUGGUGAAAGACGGUUUUGCUGUCACUUCUAGCUGGAUCCCGGCUGCUUUAGCUAGUUGGUAAGGUAAAGGCUUACCAAGGCAACGAUGCGUAGCCGACCUGCGGGAGUGAUAGGCCACAUGGGAACUGAGACACGGUCAAGAGGACUAAGAGAGGGAGCAGUAGGGAAUGUGCGGCAGUGGGCGAAAGCAUGACGGAGCAAGGCCAAGGGAGUGAUGAAGGUCUUCGGAGCGGAAAACUCGGUUAUUAGGGAAGAACAAAUGUGGAAGUAACUAUGCACGGCUUGACGGUACCUAAUCAGAAAGCCACGGCUAACUACGUG
rnacentral:rRNA from 1 species